GACCGCGUGGCUCAGUUGGAAGAGCAUUGGGCUAGUAUUCCAAAGGUCGUAGGUUCGAAUCCCACCGUGGCCG